GUCUCACGGAGGUCCUGGGAAGGCGAAAUGGAGGGGUGUGUAUCUAACGUCAUGAUCUGUAACCUGGCCUACAACGGGAAGCUGGAUGAGUUGAAGGAAAGCAUUUUGGCUGAUAAAUCUCUGGCCACUAUAACUGAUCAGGAAAGCAGAACAGCAUUGCACUGGGCAUGCUCAGCUGGUCAUACAGAAAUUGUUGAAUUCUUGCUGCAACUUGGAGUGCCAGUGAAUGAUAAAGAUGAUGCAGGUUGGUCUCC
rnacentral:lncRNA from 1 species